UUAUUGACAACCACAUCUCACAUGACACAGAGAUAAGCACUUUACAAAUUAAUGUGACAAAAAGCUCUCCUGCAGUCUGAUUCGACUUUGUCAUUUUUGUGUUAGCAUGUUAAUUAUGUAGAUGAGGAAACUGAUACAUUCAAGAUGUUCCUUGAAUUUCAAAGGCCACAUGGUGAAGCUUGGUGCCAGAACCAACCCCCCAGGUUUUUCAAUUUCAAGCUGGAUUUCUUUCUAUCAUGUCUCACUGCCAAUAGAAUCAGCUUUGCUUUCUCUGACUUUGCUUAGUCACUCCUGUGGCUCCACUAAGUAACUCUCUGCCAAGGCAGAAAUUCUCAGAAAACAAAUGUACCAGUGAGGCUGAUGACAUGAGAUAAAAAUAGAGAAAAAGAACGAGUCAUGUUGCAAAGUGGCGUCCGUCAAUGCGAGAGGAAAGGGACAUACUGGGAGGAAAGAAAAAGAGAAAAUUAAAGCCAAUGAGUCAGUUCUGAGAUGGUGAGCAGAACAAAUGUCGCAUGUGUGCCUGCAUCUCUCCUAUAGGUGUGAUCCUGAGGAGUUGUAUACAAGAAACUAACUCAUAAGUCACCCAGAAGAGCCAUGCGAUCUUCAGUUUGCAUACUCAACCAAGAGUUAUAGAUCUCAUCACUGUCUUCCUAGUUGCCCUCACAGACAGACCGAAAGAUUCAGUCUCGUUGAACGGUGUCUUACCUUGUGGUCUGCCACAGGACACACUGUCUGAAGAUGGGAAGCAGGUGGCUCUGGA